UCUAAUAUGGCAGAUUAGUGCAAUGGACUUAAACCCCAUAUAUAAAGUUCAACCUUUUUUUAGAA
rnacentral:tRNA from 1 species